UGGGGAAUUUUGGACAAUGGGCGAAAGCCUGAUCCAGCAAUGCCGCGUGUGUGAAGAAGGCCUUCGGGUUGUAAAGCACUUUUGUCCGGAAAGAAAUCCUUGGCUCUAAUACAGUCGGGGGAUGACGGUACCGGAAGAAUAAGCACCGGCUAACUACGUGCCAGCAGCCGCGGUAAUACGUAGGGUGCAAGCGUUAAUCGGAAUUACUGGGCGUAAAGCGUGCGCAGGCGGUUUGCUAAGACCGAUGUGAAAUCCCCGGGCUCAACCUGGGAACUGCAUUGGUGACUGGCAGGCUAGAGUAUGGCAGAGGGGGGUAGAAUUCCACGUGUAGCAGUGAAAUGCGUAGAGAUGUGGAGGAAUACCGAUGGCGAAGGCAGCCCCCUGGGCCAAUACUGACGCUCAUGCACGAAAGCGUGGGGAGCAAACAGGAUUAGAUACCCUGGUAGUCCACGCCCUAAACGAUGUCAACUAGUUGUUGGGGAUUCAUUUCCUUAGUAACGUAGCUAACGCGUGAAGUUGACCGCCUGGGGAGUACGGUCGCAAGAUUAAAACUUAAUGAAUUGACGGGGUCAUAGCUGAUUCCU
rnacentral:rRNA from 1 species